GACGAACGCUGGCGGCGUGCUUAACACAUGCAAGUCGAACGGAAAGGCCCUGCUUUUGUGGGGUGCUCGAGUGGCGAACGGGUGAGUAACACGUGAGUAACCUGCCCUUGACUUUGGGAUAACUUCAGGAAACUGGGGCUAAUACCGGAUAGGAGCUCCUGCUGCAUGGGGGGGGUUGGAAAGUUUCGGCGGUGGGGGAUGGACUCGCGGCUUAUCAGCUUGUUGGUGGGGUAGUGGCUUACCAAGGCUGUGACGGGUAGCCGGCCUGAGAGGGUGACCGGCCACACUAGGACUGAGAGACGGCCCAGACUCCUACGGGAGGCAGCAGGGGGGAAUAUUGCACAAUGGGCGGAAGCCUGAUGCAGCAACGCCGCGUGCGGGAUGACGGCCUUCGGGUUGGAAACCGCUUUCGCCUGUGACGAAGCGUGAGUGACGGUAAUGGGUAAAGAAGCACCGGCUAACUACGUG
rnacentral:rRNA from 1 species